AUUGAACGCUGGCGGCAGGCUUAACACAUGCAAGUCGAACGCCCCGCAAGGGGAGUGGCAGACGGGUGAGUAACGCGUGGGAACAUACCCUUUCCUGCGGAAUAGCUCCGGGAAACUGGAAUUAAUACCGCAUACGCCCUACGGGGGAAAGAUUUAUCGGGGAAGGAUUGGCCCGCGUUGGAUUAGCUAGAUGGUGGGGUAAAGGCCUACCAAGGCGACGAUCCAUAGCUGGUCUGAGAGGAUGAUCGGCCACAUUGGGACUGAGACACGGCCCAAACUCCUACGGGAGGCAGCAGUGGGGAAUAUUGGACAAUGGGCGCAAGCCUGAUCCAGCCAUGCCGCGUGAGUGAUGAAGGCCUUAGGGUUGUAAAGCUCUUUCACCGAUGAAGAUAAUGACGGUAGUCGGAGAAGAAGCCCCGGCUAACUUCGUGCCAGCCGCCGCGGUAACAC
rnacentral:rRNA from 1 species